rnacentral:rRNA from 1 species
GACGAACGCUGGCGGCAUGCCUAACACAUGCAAGUCGAGCGAGUUGAUCCUUUCGGGGUGAGCGGCGGACGGGUGAGUAACGCGUGGGUAACCUGCCCUAUACACACGGAUAACGUACCGAAAGGUACGCUAACACGGGAUAAUAUUGUUGGAUGGCAUCUUCUAACAAUCAAAGCUCCGGCGGUAUAGGAUGGACCCGCGUCUGAUUAGCUAGUUGGUGAGGUAAUGGCUCACCAAGGCGACGAUCAGUAGCCGACCUGAGAGGGUGAUCGGCCACACUGGAACUGAGACACGGUCCAAACUCCUACGGGAGGCAGCAGUGGGGAAUAUUGCACAAUGGGCGAAAGCCUGAUGCAGCAACGCCGCGUGAGCGAUGAAGGCCUUCGGGUCGUAAAGCUCUGUCCUCAAGGAAGAUAAUGACGGUACUUGAGGAGGAAGCCCCGGCUAACUACGUGCCAGCCGCCGCCGUAA